UACGAAGGGGGCUAGUGUUGCUCGGAAUCACUGGGCGUAAAGCGCACGUAGGCGGCUUUUUAAGUCAGGGGUGAAAUCCUGGAGCUCAACUCCAGAACUGCCUUUGAUACUGAGAAGCUUGAGUCCGGGAGAGGUGAGUGGAACUGCGAGUGUAGAGGUGAAAUUCGUAGAUAUUCGCAAGAACACCAGUGGCGAAGGCGGCUCACUGGCCCGGUACUGACGCUGAGGUGCGAAAGCGUGGGGAGCAAACAGGG
rnacentral:rRNA from 1 species